rnacentral:rRNA from 1 species
UACGUAGGUGGCAAGCGUUGUCCGGAUUUACUGGGCGUAAAGAGCGCGCAGGCGGUCGUUCAAGUCGCGUGUGAAAGCCCCCGGCUCAACUGGGGAGGGUCACGCGAUACUGAUCGACUCGAAGGCAGGAGAGGGUAGUGGAAUUCCCGGUGUAGUGGUGAAAUGCGCAGAUAGUCAGGAGGAACACCGGUGGCGGAAGGCGGGUUCUCUGGGCAUUACCUGACGCUGGAGGAGCGAAAGUGUGGGGAGCGAACAGG